CCUACGGGGGGCUGCAGUCGAGAAUCAUUCACAAUGGGGGAAACCCUGAUGGUGCGACGCCGCGUGGGGGAAUGAAGGUCUUCGGAUUGUAAACCCCUGUCAUGUGGGAGCAAAUUAAAAAGAUAGUACCACAAGAGGAAGAGACGGCUAACUCUGUGCCAGCAGCCGCGGUAAUACAGAGGUCUCAAGCGUUGUUCGGAAUCACUGGGCGUAAAGCGUGCGUAGGCUGUUUCGUAAGUCGUGUGUGAAAGGCGCGGGCUCAACCCGCGGACGGCACAUGAUACUGCGAGACUAGAGUAAUGGAGGGGGAACCGGAAGUCUCGGUGUAGCAGUGAAAUGCGUAGAUAUCGAGAGGAACACUCGUGGCGAAGGCGGGUUCCUAGACAUUAACUGACGCUGAGGCACGAAGGCCAGGGGAGCGAAAGGGAUUAGAUACCCGAGUAGUC
rnacentral:rRNA from 1 species